CUACGGGUGGCAGCAGUCGAGAAUCUUCCGCAAUGGACGAAAGUCUGACGGAGCGACGCCGCGUGCGGGAUGAAGGCCUUCGGGUUGUAAACCGCUGUCAGUGGGGAGAAAAUGCAUCAGGGUUUUCCCUGGUGUUUGACCGAUCCGCAGAGGAAGCGCAGGCUAAGUUCGUGCCAGCAGCCGCGGUAACACGAACUGCGCGAACGUUAUUCGGAAUCACUGGGCUUAAAGAGUUCGUAGGCGGCCUUUCAAGUCGGGUGUGAAAUCCCUCGGCUCAACCGAGGAAUUGCGCCUGAUACUGUUGGGCUUGAGGGGGAUAGGGGUGAGCGGAACUGAUGGUGGAGCGGUGAAAUGCGUUGAUAUCAUCAGGAACACCGGUGGCGAAGGCGGCUCACUGGAUCUCUUCUGACGCUGAGGAACGAAAGCUAGGGGAGCGAACGGGAUUAGAUACCCUCGUAGUC
rnacentral:rRNA from 1 species